ACGGUACUCCUCCCGUCCCAAAAUUCUUGUCUUAGAUUUGACUAGAUACGGAUGUAUCUAAUACUAAAACGUGAUACAUUCAUAUUUAGACAAAUUCAAAACAAAAAUUUUGGAACGGAGAAAAUACUAA
rfam:Triticum aestivum genome assembly, contig: Triticum_aestivum_CS42_TGACv1_scaffold_327967_4BS